UUUGGCUCUGCCUUUGACAAGGGGAUAAGAAUAUGAGAAAUCCUCUUUUUCUUUUUUAAAUAAUUUUAAGCCCAUAGGCCGGACGAGAACGGUAUCAGGACAGCAUCGCGGACCUGAGAAAACCCACCGCCCUACGCAGUAGCCGGCAAACCACGCAGAGCAGGUAAACCAGCUUCGUAAAGCUGACCGGCUCAAGGGGAGUACCAUACCUGGGAUACAUUUUUACGUUUAAUAACGAAGAAAGAUACAUUUUUGUUUGUUUAGUAAUCGACUUGAUCAAUUAUGGUUUACACUAUCUGCAAAUAUCGUAAGAUUAAUUGCCAUUGCCAAUUACAUUUUGGAAAAUAAUUUUGUUACAUUAUAUUAAGAGUAUCGUGAAUAACGAUAUCCUAAAGAUUGUAUCGUUGAGGGAAGCAUCGAAUUAAAUUGCAUAUUUUUUUUG